GCUCACGUGAGGCCUGAGUCAGAGGGAUGCAGGUCCUUAAAUCCACUGCUGGGGGCCCUGCUCGCAGAGACGAACAGCAGGGGGUUGCAGCGCAUCGAAGGGGGCUCUCCAAGAGGCGUUCAAAGAGACCCACAUUCGGAAACCCUCGGCAGCUCCCUGCAGCAGCACCCAAGGGAGGAGAUCUCGAAGCACCACGGGGUUUGACUCUCGUGUCGUGCAGUUCCAGGUGGUACCGACCGCCGGCAGGGGAGGGACCCAGGACUAGUCUCCUGGAGGUUUCUUUACUUUGCCUUUCCCAAACAAGCGCUGCUGCGUUCCUUGACCUUGGGAGCGGGAAGCCACUUUCAGCAGAAGCCAGAGAGAGCCGGAUAGCGCUCUGGGGGAGAAGCAAGAGGGUGGGCUGGGGAAGGAGGAGGCCCUUCCUUGCGAGUUUCAAUUUCCAAACAGCUGGGGUCUGCAGAGACCGGGACUCUGCAGGCGGGAGGCACGGGGGAAGCCGGAAAGGAAGCUGCUCACCAUGGGUGCAACAGACGAGGGGGCUACUGUGUCAGCCCCCCAAAGGCGCGGAGGAGAUAAUGGACCAGCCGGCCGAACAAGUGCACCCAGAGGAAGAGCUGGAUCCAGAACUGGAAGUCGAAAUCUGAGCCUUCCUCAAUCCCACGAAGGUCGCCGGGUCUGAGCUCCAUGCCGCCGCCCCCGGUGACGCAGACCUCGGCUCCUGGCCGCCGGGAUCCUGACUCAGGCUGCCCUCCUUAUCUACGCCACCCGAGGUUCCCCCAUGGCUGCACGGCUUCAAACCAGACCUCCAGGACCCUGGGGGGGAGGAGGGGGGAGGACCUCCGGAGGAGAAAUGUCUGGACAGUAGCAGGGUGGGAAGCAGCCAGUUUCACUCCUGUCGCUUCCCAGGCUCAGGGCUCAGCCUGCCCCGGUGAGGAGCGCGCUAGGUAUUGUUUCAGCAAGCGCCCCAUGGGAGCAGCCUCAAAGGGGGAGGGAGAGCCAGGGCUGGGCACGCCGCCAGGUUCACACGAAGCCCUUAAAGGCAUCGGCUCCCUGCUCCACACCUGCUCUCAGCUGCUCCAGACCAGCGCUCCCCGGGAAACUCGGCACACGGGCCCAUGCGGCAGGACAGGAGGGUGGAAUCCUAACCUCCGCCCUGGAUCCCACGGAACCUGGCCCAGCAGCUCGGAGCAUCCCGGCCAACUCCCUCAUCUCAGGAGAGGUUUGUGUGUCUGUGUGAUCUACAGCAUCUCUAGGGCAGCCGUUCAAACCCAGUCCAAUGGGAAAUUAAUUUGGCAGGUCUCAGUCCAAUUCCCAGAGGGAGAGACCUCCCCGUCGCAGAAUCAUCCCACACAGGGAUCCUGGGUUCAUUCUCACCAUUAGACCAUGCUGCCUUCCCAAGCCAGGACUAGAACCCAGGAGUCCUGACUCCCAGCCCCCGUUCUAAACACACACACCCCAUCCCAGCCCCCACUCACUGCAUAAGAGGAACGGCCAUGUUAGCUGCUCCUAUCCCUUUCGGAGAGAGAGGCUGGUGAGGGGCAGAUUAUCUUCUGGGCUUCCGUUCAAGCCCCUUUCAGGCCAUACGGUCAUGGGAGGGAGAUGGUUUUGUGAUGGGGAGGCCCCUCCCUCGGGGAAUUAGACUGACACCCGUCAAACACCUUUCACAUUGCAGCGGGUUGGAGCGGGGCUACUAGGAGUCAGGACUCCCGGGUUGGAGGGCUGAGAGUCUGAUCUCACCGGCUCAUCUGGUCUUUGUCAGUACAGCCAGUCGGGGGCAGGGGAGGCCAGCGCUGCUCCCGCGUGCAACGGGAACAGCUUCUUUGAGCUGCGCCUGGGUGAACGGAAGCCUUGACGUUGACCGGCCAACAAGGGCAGAUCAGCUGAACCGCUGGGCGGGCAGGUCUGCGCCAGCUGCUGCACGCUCAGCGCCCCGGGGGUGGAUCUUGAGACAGCCCCUCCCUUCUGGGACCUGUGCUGGAGCUUCCCCCCACUCCCCCCGUCACUAUAAGGCCUAAAAGGGGGUUGAUUGGAAGCCACUCUCCUUGGAAGGGACGGGAGCAGGCCAUCGGUGCCUUUCCUUCCUUUUCAAGCUGUUCAGGUCAGAACAAUUCCAUUGCCAGCCCUGUCUGAAGGCACCAGCAGAGGGAAUUAACUGGCUGAUCGGGGCGGGGGGUAACAGAUAUGUAGCUGGGUCCGCACUCCCGAGGGGCUGCCCCCCCCAGGUGCCAAUCCGACAGGCUGGCGAGAGCGGCGCCCAAAGGGUUAACCUUGUGCAGGUGCAGCUUUGGCAGGACCAGGGGAAUUUUCUGCCCUCUCAGGUGGCGGGUCCCGCAGGCUCAGCACGAAAGGUUUACAAUAUUCCAGCGUGAUCAUUAAAAAUCAUCCACCUGCAGCCAGCAACGAGCAGGACCAGGAGGGACAAACGGACCCAGCAGAUGGCAUUUUGCCCUCCUCAGCCGUCAGAGCACCAUGGCCCGGCCACAGAUGGUGACCCCAGGGCAGUCAGCCUCACAGUGCAGCACCAGUGAGAGCCCCACUUGGUACACCCGGUCUACCCAGGGGCUUGUCUGCUCUGGCAGCCUGAAGCUCGUUAGUCGUUCAUUUCAGCAGUGGAAUCCCUGCUCCACCCCAGAAGUGGGCGCAUCGGGGAAACGUUGAAUGCUCAUAGCCUGAACAGCCCUGUGCACCCAAGGAGGCACCACUGGGAGUACAGGCCAUUUAAUCCAGAUAGGUUCAUUCUGGCCUAGCACCCCGCUUCAGAACCCACCGCAGGGACUCAUGAUCUUUGAACAACUGAAGCCCACCCAAGCAGGUGUACAACAUACACAUCUCGUCCUCCUUAACCCUGCUUCUGCUCCCCCAACAGCAGCCACCUGGGUCUGUGAACACGCAGGGAGAAGGGAAGAUGUAACACACCAAGGGCGGUGGGAGGCAAGAGACAGCAUGAAAUAUAGAUCUAGGCUCCGCACAGAACCCUCCACUCCCUACGUUCCAGCCAGCUUUCUGUCACCAUUUACCAGGGGCUGGGGCGGAUUCUCCAGCACAGGCAAUUUUCAAAACAAACGUGGAUGCUUUUCUAAGAGAUCUGCUCUAAGUCAAACGGGCAAGUCCUAUGGCCUGUGCCACGCUGGAGGUCAGACUAGCACAGCGGUUUUCAACCUUUUUUAUCUGCGGACCCCUAAACAAUUUCAAAUGGAGUUGCAGACCCCUUGGAAAUCUUAGACUGCCAGGAGUCUGCCGACUACAGAUUGAAAACCACUGGACGAGAUGAACACGGCGGUCUCUGCUGGCUUUGGAAUCUCUGACAGGCGGCCUUGUGGUAAAGGCAGGGGACUGGGAUUUGGGAGAUUUGGGUUCCAUUCCCAGUUUGGACACUGACUUCACGCAACCUUGGGUGAGUCAUUUCAACCCAGCUCCCUGCCUGUAAAAUGGGGCUAUGAAUCCGUCCAUUGUCUGUCUGCUCUCUUUAGAGUCAAAGCUCUUUAGGGCAGACUCUUUCCAGGUAUCAGAGGGCCUCGGAUCGGGUCAUCACGUGCUACUGUAAUACAAAUAAUACAAACCCAUCCAAUUCUUAACCAGGUAAUGACUAACCAGAAGGAACGCAGGAAACCAGCUGGGAUGCUCACAUCACAAACAUACCGAUGCAGGAGAGAAUUGCACUCAUUUUCAGCCCCAAAACUAUGUAUAUUUACAAACAAAGAGUUCUUCAAAAACCAAAUGCAGAGAGCAAUUUUACAGGAUUUCAAAAGAAAAUUCAGUAAACAAAAAAAAAGUUUGCUUGAAGAUUUAGAGAGACGUUACUGGUUUAAAAAAACAUUAUAAUAAAAACUAUGUUUCCUUCUUACAUUACCAGAAUCUGGGUUUUUUAAACUUAAAGCUUGUUUUUAAUAUAAAUCCCUCUGCACUUAUUGCCUUUGCAGGUAUUUCAGCGUGGACAAAUGGGGGGAAAAACCCACCAUAGCCAGUCAAUUUCACUCCGGUUCUAGUUAGUUUAACUUCUGGUACUUAAGUAACUCCAUAUUGCUACACUAAACUGUGAUCAGUAGAUGGAGAUACCUCAACAACUGCUAGUAACAUGGUGCCGAUUCCUUGUUUCCAGUUGCUAGACUGCAUCAACCCAUUAAAGACUUUCUUAAUCUGAAUUUGAAAUAAUGUCUGUCAAAGGGGAUACUGUAGAAUUAGAAGGUUCAGAGAAGGGCAACAAGAAUGAUCUAGGGCCUGGACACACUCUCCUAUGAGGAGAGAUUGAAAGGAUUGUUUACCUUUAGAAAGGAGACCAAUAAGAGGGGCAUAAUAAAUAUCUAUAAAAUAAUAAUUGGGAUGAAGAAGGGAAAUCAGGAGCUUCUGUUCUUCCUGUCUCAUCCCACAAGAGCCAAGGGACACUCAAAUAGAAUUAAAAGGUAGGGCAUUCAAAACCAAUAAGAGGAAACACUUUUCAAUUAGCCUGUGGAACUCACCACCACAUGAAGUUGAGACCAAAACCAGCCUGGACAUUCACAUGGAUAAAGACCAUCCAGGGCUAUAAUUUAAAUUACAACAAUAAUUCUGGAAUGGAUAUUAAACCUUGUGCUUCAGGGUUUAAGCUGAACUACUAGACAUCAGGAUGAGACCUAUGGAGGUGGAAAGUUUUUGCCCCACUGCUACUGUGGGGUUCUUUACCCUUCCUCUGCAGCCUCUGCUGCUGAUGCUACAUGGACCUCAAGGCUGACCCAGUCUGGCAAUUGAUACGUUGAGGUUAUUUUUCCAUGUUGGCUGUCGCUGCCCCGGGACAUUAGGGGAUCAUGAAGGAGGAGCUGCUUGAUGGGAUGGCACAAUGGGAACAGAGGGCCGCAUGGGGAUCUCCUCAACCCCACACUAUGAAAAGUCUGAGCGAGACAAUUCAUAGGUGCACUGAGUUUAAGGCCAGAAGGGAUCGCUGAUCAUCAUCAUUCUAGACAGACCUCCUGCAUAACCCAGGCCAGGGCGUUCCACCCAGUCACACCCGCAUCCAGCGCAACAAAUUGUAGUGGAAUAAGAGCAGAUCUUUUAGAAAGAAACAUCUAGCCUGGAUUUAAAGACUCCAAGCGAUGGAGGAUUCACUGCAUCCCUUGAUGGUGUGUUUGUGUUUGUCCUACCGAUGGACGGGCCAUUGCUGUCAGAGAGACGGCAGCAGCAAUCUCACGUGAUGCGGGUUUGCCAGAGGGCGAUCGCUGCUCUCUGCCUCAGGAAGAUCCGUGCCAGGCUGGCAUUCUUCCCCUGCCUUUCAACCCAACUCCCUCCAAGAACCGAGCGUUUCACCCAAGCCGGCCGAUUUCUCUCGCUAGCAUCCACCUACCCCUCAUGUUUUAUUUAACCAGAUAUUUCGCAUCAUAGGGGGAGGCUGGUGCAAUGGUUAGAGCGCUAGCCUGGGACUUGGGAGAUCCUGGCUCAAUUCCCUGCUCUGCCCCAGACUAACCUUGGGCAAGUCACUUAGUCUGUGCAUCAAUUUCCCCAUGCUACAGAGGGGAUGAUAGCACUUCCUUGCCUCACCAGGAGGGUUGGAGGAUAAAUAUAUUACCAGUUGUGAGGCUCUUGGAUACUAUAAUAACCGGAGCCAGAUAAGGCCCUUAGACAGAAAGCUAACGCACUUCCUUAUUGUCCAUACAUCUGUAUCCCCUCAUUUCUUCUUCGACAGCAUCAAAGAAAAAGAAGCUCAGCAGCUCUUAGUCAUUUUACGAUCAUUAAUUUUAUCUCCCGAUCCAUCAACGAGCCUUAAUGCACCUCUGCUACGGACCUAUUUUACUCCUGAGGUCUGCAAAAGCCCCGUUUUCCCUUAACCCUUUUUGGGAUUUUCUGCUCCGGCUGCCUCUCCAGAGAUCUCCUCAACCUUUCCUCAUCACUCAAGAGUCAGAGUUGAACCCUGGCGUGAUUCCAUUCUGCCUCCCUGAAAUACCCACCACAAUUC